rnacentral:misc_RNA from 1 species
GAUGAAGAACGUAGCGAAAUGCGAUAAGUAAUGUGAAUUGCAGAAUUCAGUGAAUCAUCGAAUCUUUGAACGCACAUUGCGCCGCUUGGUAUUCCGAGGGGCAUGCCUGUUCGAGCGUCAUUAUAACCCCUCAAGCUCAGCUUGGUGUUGGGGCCUGCUGCACUGGCAGCCCUUAAAAUCAGUGGCGGCGCCAUCUGGCUCUAAGCGUAGUAAUUCUUCUCGCUAUGGAGUCCUGGUGGAUGCUUGCCAUCAACCCCCAAUUUUUCUAUGGUUGACCUCGGAUCAGGUAGGGAUACCCGCUGAACUUAAGCAUAUCAAUAAGCGGAGGA